rnacentral:rRNA from 1 species
UACGUAGGGUGCGAGCGUUGUCCGGAAUUAUUGGGCGUAAAGAGCUUGUAGGCGGUCUGUCGCGUCUGCUGUGAAAAUCCGGGGCUCAACCCCGGACUUGCAGUGGGUACGGGCAGACUAGAGUGUGGUAGGGGAGACUGGAAUUCCUGGUGUAGCGGUGAAAUGCGCAGAUAUCAGGAGGAGCACCGAUGGCGAAGGCGGUUCUCUGGGCCUGUGCUGACGCUGAGGAGCGAAAGCGUGGGGAGCGAACAGG